UGGGGAAUAUUGCACAAUGGGCGCAAGCCUGAUGCAGCCAUGCCGCGUGUAUGAAGAAGGCCUUCGGGUUGUAAAGUACUUUCAGCGGGGAGGAAGGGAGUAAAGUUAAUACCUUUGCUCAUUGACGUUACCCGCAGAAGAAGCACCGGCUAACUCCGUGCCAGCAGCCGCGGUAAUACGGAGGGUGCAAGCGUUAAUCGGAAUUACUGGGCGUAAAGCGCACGCAGGCGGUCUGUCAAGUCGGAUGUGAAAUCCCCGGGCUUAACCUGGGAACUGCAUUCGAAACUGGCAGGCUAGAGUCUUGUAGAGGGGGGUAGAAUUCCAUGUGUAGCGGUGAAAUGCGUAGAGAUGUGGAGGAAUACCGGUGGCGAAGGCGGCCCCCUGGACAAAGACUGACGCUCAGGUGCGAAAGCGUGGGGAGCAAACAGG
rnacentral:rRNA from 1 species